rnacentral:rRNA from 1 species
GUCGAGCGAGCGGAACUAACAGAUUUACUUCGGUAAUGACGUUAGGAAAGCGAGCGGCGGAUGGGUGAGUAACACGUGGGGAACCUGCCCCAUAGUCUGGGAUACCACUUGGAAACAGGUGCUAAUACCGGAUAAGAAAGCAGAUCGCAUGAUCAGCUUUUAAAAGGCGGCGUAAGCUGUCGCUAUGGGAUGGCCCCGCGGUGCAUUAGCUAGUUGGUAAGGUAAAGGCUUACCAAGGCGAUGAUGCAUAGCCGAGUUGAGAGACUGAUCGGCCACAUUGGGACUGAGACACGGCCCAAACUCCUACGGGAGGCAGCAGUAGGGAAUCUUCCACAAUGGACGCAAGUCUGAUGGAGCAACGCCGCGUGAGUGAAGAAGGUUUUCGGAUCGUAAAGCUCUGUUGUUGGUGAAGAAGGAUAGAGGUAGUAACUGGCCUUUAUUUGACGGUAAUCAACCAGAAAGUCACGGCUAACUACGUGCCAGCAGCCGCGGUAAUACGUAGGUGGCAAGCGUUGUCCGGAUUUAUUGGGCGUAAAGCGAGCGCAGGCGGAAGAAUAAGUCUGAUGUGAAAGCCCUCGGCUUAACCGAGGAACUGCAUCGGAAACUGUUUUUCUUGAGUGCAGAAGAGGAGAGUGGAACUCCAUGUGUAGCGGUGGAAUGCGUAGAUAUAUGGAA